GUACACGCUGUGACUAGCAUAUCAAUAAGCGGAGGAAAAGAAACUAACGAGGAUUCCCCUAGUAACGGCGAGUGAAGCGGGAAGAGCUCAAAUUUGAAAUCUUAAAGGGUUUCCCUUUACGAAUUGUAGUUUAAAGAAGUGUUUUCUGUUGAGGUUUUGGUAAAAGUUCUUUGGAAUAGGACAUCAUAGAGGGUGAGAAUCCCGUAUUUGACCUUUACUUUCAACUUUGUGAUACACUUUCAAAGAGUCGGAUUGUUUGGGAAUGCAGUCCAAAAUGGGUGGUAAAUUUCAUCUAAAGCUAAAUAUUGGCGAGAGACCGAUAGCGAACAAGUACCGUGAGGGAAAGAUGAAAAGAACUUUGAAAAGAGAGUUAAACAGUACGUGAAAUUGUCAAAAGGGAAGCGUUUGACACCAGUGUUGUUUUUCUGAAAAUCAAUUAAAGAACUGUUUAUGCUAAGUUGUUUAGACUUUAUCAGCUAUCUGUUUAGUUUUGAGCUUUUCUUUAAUGCACUUUUCAGUUAACAAGUCAACAUCAAUUUCUUUUGCUGUAAAAAAGCUUGAGGAAGGUGGCUUGAGAUUCGUCUUAAGUGUUUAUAGCCUCUUGCCUAUGCAGUCGGAGAGAUUGAGGUCUGCAGCGUAGAUCCUUCGGGGCUAAAUGCAUUUGUGCUAAGUUAUAGCAUUUUAUAGACAACUUGUUGACUAUGAUUUGUCUUGUAGCUUACUCGCUUAUGUUAUUUUACCUACGCUUAGGAUGUUGAUAUGCAUGACUGAUAU
rnacentral:rRNA from 1 species